GGAGUUUGGGCCGUGUCUCAGUCCCAAUGUGGCCGUCCGACCUCUCAGUCCGGCUACAGAUCGUCGCCUUGGUGAGCCGUUACCUCACCAACUAGCUAAUCUGACGCGGGCCCAUCUCAUACCACCGGAGUUUUUCACACUGUGUCAUGCGACACUGUGCGCUUAUGCGGUAUUAACAGUCGUUUCCAACUGUUAUCCCCCAGUAUGAGGCAGGUUGCCCACGCGUUACUCACCCGUCCGCCACUAAGUUUAUAAAUAAUCCACCCGAAGGUCUCAAAUAAAUAAACUCCGUUCGACUUGCAUGUGUUAGGCACGCCGCCAGCGUUCAUC
rnacentral:rRNA from 1 species